GAUGAACGCUAGCUACAGGCUUAACACAUGCAAGUCGAGGGACCGGCGCACGGGUGAGAAACACGUAUCCAACCUGCCCUUUACUCGGGGAUAGCCUUUCGAAAGAAAGAUUAAUACCCGAUGUAAAGGAUGGGGAUGCGUUCCAUUAGGUUGUUGGUGAGGUAACGGCUCACCAAGCAUUCGAUGGAUAGGGGUUCUGAGAGUAAGGUCCCCCACAUUGGAACUGCGACACGGUCCAAACUCCUACGGGCGUCAGCAGUGAGUUAUAUUUGUCAAUGGGCGUUAGCCUGACCCAGCCAAGUAGCGUGAAGGAUGAAUGCUUAUGGGUCGUAAUCUUCUUUUAUAUAAGCAUAUGUAUUAUAUGAAUAAGGAUCGGCUAACUCCGUGCCAGCAGCCGCGGUAAUUC
rnacentral:rRNA from 1 species